rnacentral:rRNA from 1 species
UACGAAGGGGGCGAGCGUUGUUCGGAAUUACUGGGCGUAAAGGGCGCGUAGGCGGCGACUCUAGUCAGAUGUGAAAGUCCUGGGCUUAACCUGGGGACUGCAUUUGAUACUGGGUUGCUUGAAUUCGGGAGAGGAUAGCGGAAUUCCCAGUGUAGAGGUGAAAUGCGUAGAUAUCUGGAGGAACACCGGUGGCGAAGGCGGCAUCCUGGACCAACACUGACGCUGAGGAGCGAAAGCCAGGGGAGCAAACGGG